ensembl:snoRNA
ACGCAUGCCCGUAGACCUUGCCUGACGGCGUUCGUGGCCAGGCAGGGGGGACAGUGCAUGCAAGAAUACUCGGAGCCCGCGCCAGCUCCUGCCAACUAACUGGGUGGCUGGACAAGUAGCGUUGCUCCCACAGCU